AGGAGGGUUCCCUUUUCUCCACACCCUCUCCAGCAUUUAUCAUUUGUGGACUUUUUAAUGAUGGCCAUUCUGGAUGUCUCUCUAUUUUUAACCUCUCAGUUUUGCAAAAGUAAAAAGAUCGAUGAUAUUUAGGGUUGGUGAGAGUGUGAAGAAAUGAAAAUUUGUUGGUAAACUGAUGCAACUUUUUGAUCAGAAAAUAGGAUGUGUUUAUAAUUUUGUAAAUGUGUGUACUGUUUGCCUCAGCAAAUCCACCUUUUCCUACAAAAAUAGUUACAAAGCAUGGAGACUACAUACAUCACAUAUUUGAAGACUUUUAUCGUAGCAUGGUUUGUAAUACUAAAAGCUGAAAAUAACCUAAAUGUUUAUCAAUAGGUGAAUGUUCAAUUACUGUUACAUACCAUGGUUAAAAAGAAUGAAGUGUACCUGUGUGUAAUAGAAAGGUGUAAAGGAUGUAACUCUGCAAAAAGCACACUUCAGAACAAUGUCUAUAAUAUGAUCCCAUUGAAAAACAAAAGAAGAUAAUUAUACAUGUGUAUUUUAAUGGGCAGAUGUAAGUCUAUGUAUAGAGAAAGCCCAGAACAGUGAUACUCAGCUUGGGGAGAUUUUGCCCCUCCCGCCAAGAGGACAUUUGUCAAUGUCUACAGACAUCUUUGAAUUUCUUGACUAUGGGAGGGUGCUAUUGGCAUCUGGUAGGUAAGAGACCAGGGAUGCUGCUAAACACCCCUCUAUGCACAGGACACCCCCCCCUUCUCAACAAAGAAUGAAUUGACUCAAACAUCAGUAGCAUAGAGGUUGAGAAACUCUAGUCUAUAAGAAUAUGUAGCAGACUAUUAGCAAUUAUCUUUAGCAAUGUUGAAGAGAUUAAGAUAUUCUUUUUAUGUUAGUUAGUAUUUUGCUGUAUUUAAGUAAAUUUCUUUUUUUUAAAUCAAUGUAUUCCUUUGAAAUUAGCACAAAUGAGAAAUACUAGUCCUUGGCUGGGAGGAAGUGGGUUACUCAUUUUCAUUCAGAAGUGGUCAGUCCACUUGCAGCAGUUGGGAAGCUAAACGAUAAUUUUUAAAUUGAGACCAAAUAGCUCUUUCGGGCAAAGAAGUAUAUAUUAACAGAUAACAAACGUUCCCUGUCAAUCCUGAUUUUGCUCUGUUUAGAAAGAUGGUUCCACAUUUUAGACAAUCAGGGCUUCCUUACUCUGAAAUGCCUGUGUAAAGCACUCCAGUGCUCCUGCUGUAAGCAGUACCCAGGACUGACAGCCCACACGCCCACAUGGCAGGGAGCUGAAGGCAGCCUCGGGCUGACGGCCACUAGCAACUGAAGCCCUCAGUCCCUCAGCCUUUGUGGAACUGAAAUCCUGCCAACAUCACAUGAGCUUGACAGUGAAUUCUUCCCUAGUUGAUCCUUCGCUCUGACAGCCCGUCAGACACCUGGGUUACAGCCUCAAGGAGAUGCCCCAGAGCAGAUGACCUGUAUCUGGACUCCUGACCCACAAAAACUAUGAGAUAUGAAAUGGCACUGUAAUGUCAUCCCACGGGCCAAGAGAGCUUGGAACACAAUAUCUAGGAGAGCCCAGGGAUGGUGGUCCACCAGGCUCCCUUUGGCUCCUAACAGCUUCCAGAGGAGGAACGCCCGAUGGGGAGGGCACUUCUAUUGCCUUUGUGGAAAAUCAGUUUCCUAGAAACUGAACACACUGAAGUAUUUUCAGAGGAGAAAACUGGGCCUAUGAGGGAGAUGUGACUUGCCCAAGACCACACAAGGAUGGGGGCAGGGAAUAAACACCCAAGUGAGGUCAGCAAGCAGUUUGGUCUGAGAAUCAGAGGAAUCCUGCCAGUUGCUGUUCCCAAUGAUUCAUUCCAGAACUGGGGAAAGAGCCACAGGAUGGGUCUGGGGACCCAGAUGACCCAGUGUGAGAUGAAGAUGAGCUAAAAUCUUAUUGAUCAUCUGAACCCCACAGAAAUCAUGGAGCAGCUGUAUGGGAACUAUGCAAACUGAAUGAUAGCAGACAGCCUGGGAAAGAAGAGCAGAAUUUGAAGCUUCAUCAAACAGGUGAUGAAUUCAUUUUCUCCUUCUGGCAUCACUUGCUCUGUGACUAAUACUGGCAAGAGGUGACGUGGCUUGAUCAAGGGUGGUAGUGAUGAAGAUGGAGAGAAAUGGCAGGUCGGGGUGCAUUUCAUAAGUUGAUUCAGACCUUGAUGGGAGAUGAGCUAAAUGUGGGAGAAUUAGGAAUCUAGGGUGACUCCUGAUUCUGGCUGGAGUGACUAGAUCAAUGAGGGUAACAUUUGCUGAUAGCGAAGAUCCAGGGAAGGAGAAGAUUUGAUGUUUGUUGUAAAUAUAAUAAAUUUGAGCUGCCUACUGUAUAGCUAAUGGGAGAUGACAAGUAGGUUGUUUAUGUAUGGCUUUGUGGUUCAAGAAAGACAUCACAACUGAACGUUAACAUUUGGGACUAUUGGACAUAUAUCCAAAGUAAUGGUCACCAUGACUUUGAAUGAGAGGGAACCCAGGGAGAAAAGAAGGGGCUGAGGGCAUGGUCAUGUGGCUGCAUCACUCUCGGACACGUGGAUAAGGGGGGCUACAGAGAAGACUGAGAAGCAAUAUCUCAUCAUAUAGUGCAUGUAUUUCAACUUAGAGAUGUAGAGAUAUUUAGAUUUAUUCUUUACCAAUCCCAAGGAUCUUCUUUAGAAAAGCUGCCUUUUAUGAGAGUGAAAGAUCAUCUUUCUAAAUGGGAAAGUCAACAAUUGCAAUUUAAAAAGUAUUAUGUGUAAAAUUCUUCCUAAAAUUCAUAUGCGAUCUCAAGGUACUCCAAAUAGCUAAAACAGUUCUGAAAAAAAAAAAAAAGAAAAAAGAACAAACUUAGAAAUCUCAUACUUUCUGAUUUCAAACUUGCUACAAAUCUACAAUAAUCUAACAGUAUAGUACUGGCAUAGAGACAGAUACGGAUCGGUGGAGUAGAAUGGAGAGCCCAGAAACAGAUCCUUGCACAGAUGCUAAAACCCACCACCAAAGAGAAGAAAUUAACUACUUGAUGACUGAGAGCACAUGGCCCCCAGACCUUCUGGUGCCUGAGGGUUGGUAGUGUUGCCCUCCCCGUUCCCUCAGCAUCACCCAAUCAGCGAGUUGUGCACGAGCUGAUCACAUACACUGCGACCCCUCCCCGACUUACCUGGCCUUUAAAUAUGCUUUGCUGAAACCCUUCAGGGAAUUCGGGGUUUUCUUGGGCAUGAGCCACCCCAUCCUCCUUGCUCAGCCCUGCAAUAAACCUUUCUCUGCUUCAAACUCCAGUGUUUCAGUUUGGCCUAAUGGUGCGUCAGGCACGUGAACCUGCCUUCAGUAACAGAAAGAGUGCCUGUUUUUACACACAGUCUCCUGUGCCAGGCAAAGCCUGUUUCUUAGUCUGUCUCUACUGGUAAUGCUAGGGCUUUGUGUAAGAUUCUGAAGUGACCUGUGCAUCCCCAUCCUGUCCUGGCAACGACAUUCCCUUCCAGUUGGGAGCAGUUCCUUCAUUCCUGAGGCCCUGGAUUGUCGCUUCUGGUCCCCCGCCUCAACCCCGCCUUGACCCAGUCCGGGGCCUCCAUGAGAGGAUCCCAGUCCCUGAGCAGCAGCGGUUAGUCAGGGCACUUGCCUGGGGCAGCGUCUUUCUCUGAAUUGACACCCAGACUUUGAGAGCCAGAACAUCUCUUUUCUGAUGGGAGUAAAGGGAUUGGAAGAAUUGGAUCUGGGAUUGGAAUAACCAUUUCCCCCUGUAACAGGCAGGAAGCCCAACUGCUUUAGGAAGAAAUGAAGCCAAGAAAGAGGAAAAUAAAACCAAGAAGGGAGAAAAAGCACUGAUGUCAUCACAUGCAUAUGGACCGUAAGAAUCUUUUACAACAGGAGUUGUAAAACAAACUGUUAGGUAAUUAGAUAAGUGGGGGCACCGGGCAGAUAGGUAGGAGAGAGAGAGGAUGGUCCAAAAGAUGACAUUAUGCCCGCCUCCAGCAUAAAGAGAUUUACUUCUUCUAAAUGAGUGCCCGCAAGAAACCCAUUAGAACCCGACAGCCAUGACUGCCCGGAGGCAGAAAGGCCUGAACUGGACGAGACCCAAUGUUCAUUGCGUUACAGUUAAUAUUGUGGUUUAGUUCCCCACCCUGGGUUUUUCUGUGUACACCAUGUGUAAGGACGUGUGCGAAAGGGCCAAACAUGACUAAACGUUCCAGGGAUAAGAGCCAUCAGUCAAUCAGAGGCCACCUCUAAGUGAGGGUAUAAGAGAAAGGAGAGACAAAAACUGCCACUUUUUCUCCACUGGGUCAGCCCACCCCCCCAUUCUUGGAGGUGUAAUUUUCCUUUUCUAAGUGAAUGUUUAAAAAUUUUUUGGUCUCCAAAGCACCAUCUCCUGACUG